UACGUAGGGUCCGAGCGUUGUCCGGAAUUACUGGGCGUAAAGAGCUCGUAGGUGGUUUGUCGCGUUGUUCGUGAAAACUCACAGCUCAACUGUGGGCGUGCGGGCGAUACGGGCAGACUGGAGUACUGUAGGGGAGACUGGAAUUCCUGGUGUAGCGGUGGAAUGCGCAGAUAUCAGGAGGAACACCGGUGGCGAAGGCAGGUCUCUGGGCUGACACUGACGCUCAUGCACGAAAGCGUGGGGAGCAAACAGG
rnacentral:rRNA from 1 species